GAGAGCGUAGCUCAGUCGGUAGAGCAAAGGACUUUUAAUCCUUGGGUCGAGGGUUCGAAUCCCUCCGCUCUCA
rnacentral:tRNA from 1 species